UGUCAUGCCCGUCUGCCUCACCACUGG
rnacentral:piRNA from 1 species